AAAUUUGCUGGUUCUGUAUGCCCUAAGUUGAAAAUACAUUUUGCAAACCUGGCAAACAAGGAACUGUAUUCUUUCAGAAGCAAUGAAAACAUCCAGGAAAGGAAAACUGGAAGCUGUUCAAUCUUCAUUCAAGGAAAACCAACUGAUUUAUCAGAUACCAACCUGAGUAGUGAUUCAGAAGACAUCUCAGCCUGCAAUUCUUCCAGUGAUUCACAAAGUGAGGAACUUCUGAACCACAAGACUGAAAAUCACAUGAUAUUCAAUACAGGAUUAC